UUUGGCAGCGGUCCAAGUUCCUUGGAACAGGACGUCACAGAGGGUGAGAAUCCCGUACGUGGUCGCUAGCUAUUGCCGUGUAAAGCCCCUUCGACGAGUCGAGUUGUUUGGGAAUGCAGCUCUAAAUGGGAGGUAAAUUUCUUCUAAAGCUAAAUAUUGACCAGAGACCGAUAGCGCACAAGUAGAGUGAUCGAAAGAUGAAAAGCACUUUGGAAAGAGAGUCAAACAGCACGUGAAAUUGUUGAAAGGUACGCGCUUGCAGCCAGAAUUGCUUGCAGUUGCUCAUCCGGGCUUUUGCCCGGUGCACUCUUCUGCAGGCAGGCCAGCAUCAGUUUGGGCGGUGGGAUAAAGGUCUCUGUCAUGUACCUCUCUUCGGGGAGGCCUUAUAGGGGAGGCGACAUACCA
rnacentral:rRNA from 1 species